rnacentral:rRNA from 1 species
UGAAGGCUUGACCUCAAAUCAGUAGGACUACCCCUGA